ensembl:snRNA U6 U6 spliceosomal RNA
GUGCUUGCUUUGGCAGCACGUAUAAUAAAAUUGGAAUGAUACAGAGGAGAUUAGCAUUGCCUCUGCAGAAGGAUGACAGGCAAAGUCGUGAAGCAUUCCAUAUUUUU